AACCAGGGUGUCUGUAGUGACACCUCGAGCACUGAGAUGCAGUGCCUUAGACCGCUGCGCCACACGGGAGCCCCUGAUUUCAAUUCAAUGUUUGAACUACAAAUAUUACUAUUUGUUUACCUCGGUUGUCCUUGGUCAACGUUGACUGUCACUGUGCUUUUGUCUUUCAACAACAUGAGAACAAGUGUGAAUUUUGUUUUUCUGAGUAACAUUACUACAAUUUCCUGCACGUGGGUAUUUCACAACAAUUUCUACAAUUUCCAGCUGGAUACAAAUUUAAACUCUUAAAGUAAUCGCCCAAAUCAAAUACUGUUUUUACCUGACCCAAGGAUUUUGAAUUGAACAUGGCUCGUGUGCUAAGUGAUAUAUUGUCAGCAAAAAAACAACAAAAAAACAAAAAAGAAAGGCUAUCAAAUACCUCCAGAAGAAAGGCCUGCUCAAGAAAUCUGUGAGGCAUACGUGCAAAGAUGGAUACAUAUGGUAAGUUAAUGUUACAACUGAUAUUGAUUGGCCUAGAGUACUUUGGGAAAGUUUGAAAUGAGGAGUACUGUACUGUAAGAAAUGUUUGAAUAUGUAAAUGGUACAGAGCUUAUUGAGCUAGUCUCAUAGGUUCUAGGCAUAUACUCUUCUAGGCAUGUACAUAAAUGGAACAGAGUCAAAGAUGUGGUUUCCAUAUGUCUAAUACCAUUCCAUUUAUUUCAUUCCAGCCAUUACAAUGAACCCGUCCUCCUAUUGCUCCUCCUACCAGCCUCCUCUGAUGGUGACCCAUAUAUUAUUUCACCCGCUGGAACAUUUCUAAAAAUGUGGCUAUGAACAUGCAUUGAAGAGAAUUAUCUAAGCUUUCCAGUGGCCAGUGUCCUUCAUAAUUGUGUGUGUGCUACUCGAGAGAUUGCAUUUCCAGUCUUUCUACAAGGGCUCACGCUCCUCUGUGUUCCGGUUGCAUUCCACCUCUGGGCACUGGACUGCAAGCCCAUGUAGAGCGAGUGAAGAGCUUAGGAGACGCACACCCUUCAAGUCUACCUUUGGCCUGCAGCCUACCACUCAAGAUGUUUCAUGUCUGUCUGGAAAGCUGUUGUUCUUCUAUUUCCAACAAUGUGGAUGUAUUCCAACUGCUACUGAAAAGAAUUUGUCGAAACAAGAGGAGGCAUCCGGAAGGAUUCAAUGUUAAGCCCUUCUCAGGUUUCACUUACGGUUCGGGUAACAUUUCUUAAUCGAUUUGCACAGGGGCUACACUUGAUAUUACAGAGGACUGCAUUGCACGGAGCUCAAGGACUGAGCUCCGUUCUCUGACAAGUAUGACGAGAAGCCUGAGAAAGGUCUGCAAUAAAGCCCCGAGGAGGUUCAAGAGGAAGUGUUUCCAAAUUGGAUCAAAUUCUCCACGGAGAUUGGUGGUGAUAGAUUAUUACAAGUUUUCGCACAAGAGAAAGCAGUGAUGGACAGCUGGUGGGAUUUUGAAAACAGGAUUUUAGAAAGUGAACCCCCCCACCUGCAAAAAAUGACAUUGCGACCAAAGAGGACAGACAGAAUGGACGUUGUUUUCAUGAAGCCAGAUUCU